rnacentral:lncRNA from 10 species
GGACUCGCAUCGCAAGCGGGGGAGGCACGCCACGCGAGGCGGGGACUGAGAGCCAGCCCCCCUUCCCCCCGGGCUUAGGACCCCCAUCGCGGUUCCUAAGAUCCUUAGGACCCACCUGGAGGACUGUGGGUAUGGGGUGUCCAAGAAGAAAGCUCAGAUCUGCCCACGGCAGGGGUCCGAACGCAGCCCGGGAUCAGGAAGAAAGCAGGUCGUUUGCAAUCUACCGGAGCCUAAGGGCAGAAGGCAGGGGUCCGAAUGCAGCCCGGGAUCACAAAGAAAGCAGGUCGUUUGCAAUCUACCAGAGCCUAAGGGCAGAAGGCAGGAUAUUAAUAACAAUUUCACAGGCUGGGUGAACACAGCCGGCGAUGCUGAAAUUAUUAUCAUCCUCUCCCCCUCUUCCCCUCCUGGCUCUCAGUCCCCGCCUCACGGGUUAUGUAGCGGGUUAUGGCAAGAAGACAAACUGCAGUUUCCUGCACAGAACAGCACAAACAAUGAUCCAAGCUCAGUUACAACACAAUAUUGGUCAUCAUUUGACCAUGGACUUCAAUAUCAACCCUUAGAAACCUUCCUAAAACAGGUCAGCAAAACACCAAGAAGCAAUAUCCUGAAUGAUAGGAAAAUAUCCUUGCUUGUGCAAAUUGUUUCCACUUAAUUUUUUUCAACAAAUGUUAAUUAUAUUUUUACUUUCUAAAAAUUUUUAAUAAAAUAUAGCCUACUUGGUUAAAAAUGGUGUCAAAGCUUUUCUAAAAGUUAAGGCAUUACAUAAUUCAGUGGCCCCUGUGGCUGCCAUGGAUAAUUCUUUUUUUUCUGUUCAUCUUCAAAGAAGGGAAUUCAGAAUCAGGAAAAGAUCUUUGGAAAUUCAUUAGCAUAUGG